rnacentral:rRNA from 1 species
GACGAACGCUGUCGGCGUGCCUAAUCCAUGCAAGUCGAACGCAGUGGGGACGGGUGAGUAACACGUGGGUAACCUCCCAUCAGAGGGGAUAACACUUGGAAACAGGUGCUAAACCGAUACUGAUGGAUGGACCCGCGGUGCAUGAGCUAGUUGGUGAGGUAACGGCGCACGAAGGCCACGAUGCAGAGCCGAACUGACAGGGUGAACGUCCACAGUGGGAAUGAGACAGGGCCCAUACUCAGACGGGAGGGAGCAGUAGGAAACCGUCGGCAAUGGACGAAAGUCUGACCUAGCCACGCCGCGGGAGUGAAGAAGGUUUUCGGAUCGUAAAUCACUGUUGUUAGAGAAGCGGUAUCUAACCAGAAAGCCACGGCUGACUACGUGCCAGGAGCCGCGGUAAUAC